CAGGCGAUAGCUGAAGCGCGUGGAACCGCGCACCACAGAGGGCAAUCGUCCCGUAAGCGAAAUCGUCUGGUCUCCCGAUGGCGUUCCUGAGUAGGACCGCACCCGUGAAACGCGGUCUGAAUCUGGGGGGACCACCCUCCAAGGCUAAGUACUCCUAGGUGACCGAUAGCGGACUAGUACCGUGAGGGAAAGGUGAAAAGUACCCCGGGAGGGGAGUGAAAUAGUACCUGAAACCGUGUGCCUACAAGCCGUGGGAGCGUCGUGCACUUCGGUGUGCCGUGACUGCGUGCCUUUUGAAGAAUGAGCC
rnacentral:rRNA from 1 species